UACGUAGGGUGCGAGCGUUAAUCGGAAUUACUGGGCGUAAAGCGUGCGCAGGCGGUUCGUUGUGUCGGUGGUGAAAUCCCCGGGCUUAACCUGGGAAUGGCCAUGGAAACUGGCGAACUGGAGUGCGGCAGAGGGGGGUGGAAUUCCGCGGUGUAGCAGUGAAAUGCGUAGAGAUGCGGAGGAACACCGAUGGCGAAGGCAGCCCCCUGGGCUGACACUGACGCUGAGGCACGAAAGCGUGGGGAGCAAACAGG
rnacentral:rRNA from 1 species